GGCGACCGGCGCACGGGUGAGUAACGCGUAUCCAACCUUCCGUACACUCAGGGAUAGCCUUUCGAAAGAAAGAUUAAUACCUGAUGGUAUGAUGAGAUUGCAUGAUAGCAUCAUUAAAGAUUUAUCGGUGUACGAUGGGGAUGCGUUCCAUUAGGUAGUAGGCGGGGUAACGGCCCACCUAGCCAACGAUGGAUAGGGGUUCUGAGAGGAAGGUCCCCCACAUUGGAACUGAGACACGGUCCAAACUCCUACGGGAGGCAGCAGUGAGGAAUAUUGGUCAAUGGACGAGAGUCUGAACCAGCCAAGUAGCGUGAAGGAUGAAGGUCCUACGGAUUGUAAACUUCUUUUAUAAGGGAAUAAACCCUCCCACGUGUGGGAGCUUGUAUGUACCUUAUGAAUAAGCAUCGGCUAACUCCGUGCCAGCAGCCGCGGUAAUACGGAGGAUGCGAGCGUUAUCCGGAUUUAUUGGGUUUAAAGGGAGCGCAGACGGGUCGUUAAGUCAGCUGUGAAAGUUUGGGGCUCAACCUUAAAAUUGCAGUUGAUACUGGCGUCCUUGAGUGCGGUUGAGGUGUGCGGAAUUCGUGGUGUAGCGGUGAAAUGCUUAGAUAUCACGAAGAACUCCGAUUGCGAAGGCAGCA
rnacentral:rRNA from 1 species